rnacentral:rRNA from 1 species
AAGGAAUAUUGGUCAAUGGACGAAAGUCUGAACCAGCCAUGCCGCGUGAAGGAUGAAUGCCCUCUGGGUUGUAAACUUCUUUUAUAUGGGACGAAAAAAGGCUUUUCUAAGCCGUCUGACGGUACCAUACGAAUAAGCACCGGCUAACUCCGUGCCAGCAGCCGCGGUAAUACGGAGGGUGCAAGCGUUAUCCGGAUUCACUGGGUUUAAAGGGUGCGUAGGUGGGUCGGUAAGUCAGUGGUGAAAUCUCGGAGCUUAACUUGGAAACUGCCAUUGAUACUAUCAGUCUUGAAUAUUGUGGAGGUCAGCGGAAUAUGUCAUGUAGCGGUGAAAUGCUUAGAUAUGACAUAGAACACCAAUUGCGAAGGCAGCUGGCUACGCAUAUAUUGACACUGAGGCACGAAAGCGUGGGGAUCAAAC